rnacentral:rRNA from 1 species
CAGGGAUUGCCCUAGUAACGGCGAGUGAAGCGGCAACAGCUCAAAUUUGAAAUCUGGCCCUAGUGGUCCGAGUUGUAAUUUGUAGAGGAUGCUUUGGGUGCGGUGCCUUCCGAGUUCCCUGGAACGGGACGCCAGAGAGGGUGAGAGCCCCGUACGGUUGGACACCUAGCCUAUAUAUAGCUCCUUCGACGAGUCGAGUAGUUUGGGAAUGCUGCUCUAAAUGGGAGGUAUAUUUCUUCUAAAGCUAAAUACCGGCCAGAGACCGAUAGCGCACAAGUAGAGUGAUCGAAAGAUGAAAAGCACUUUGAAAAGAGGGUUAAAUAGCACGUGAAAUUGUUGAAAGGGAAGCGUUUGCGACCAGACCUUUUCCGGGCGGAUCAUCCGGCGUUCUCGCCGGUGCACUUCGCCCGGUUUAGGCCAGCAUCGGUUUUCUUAGGGGGAUAAAGGCCAGGGGAACGUAGCUCUUUCGGGAGUGUUAUAGCCCCUGGCGUAAUACCCUUCGGGGGACCGAGGACCGCGCUUUUGCAAGGAUGCUGGCGUAAUGGUCGUCAACGACCCGUCUUGAAACACGGACCAAGGAGUCGAACAUUGGUGCGAGUGUUUGGGUGUUAAACCCUCACGCGUAAUGAAAGUGAACGGAGGUGAGAGCCCUUACGGGUGCAUCAUCGACCGAUCCUGAUGUCUUCGGAUGGAUUUGAGUAAGAGCAUCACUGUUCGGACCCGAAAGAUGGUGAACUAUGCGUGGAUAGGGUGAAGCCAGAGGAAACUCUGGUGGAGGCUCGCAGCGGUUCUGACGUGCAAAUCGAUCGUCAAAUCUGCGCAUGGGGGCGAAAGACU